UGGGGAAUAUUGCACAAUGGAGGGAACUCUGAUGCAGCGACGCCGCGUGAACGAAGAAGGCUUUCGAGACGUAAAGUUCUUUUAUAUGGGAAGAUAAUGACGGUACCAUAAGAAGAAGCCCCGGCUAACUACGUGCCAGCAGCCGCGGUAAUACGUAGGGGGCUAGCGUUGUCCGGAAUCACUGGGCGUAAAGGGUUCGCAGGCGGAAAUGCAAGUCAGGUGUAAAAGGCAGUAGCUUAACUACUGUAAGCAUUUGAAACUGCAUAUCUUGAGAAGAGUAGAGGUAAGUGGAAUUUUUAGUGUAGCGGUGAAAUGCGUAGAUAUUAAAAAGAAUACCGGUGGCGAAGGCGACUUACUGGGCUCAUUCUGACGCUGAGGAACGAAAGCGUGGGUAGCAAACAGG
rnacentral:rRNA from 1 species